rnacentral:rRNA from 2 species
CACCGCGGUUAUACGAGAGGCCCGAGUUGACAGAUACUCGGCGUAAAGCGUGGUUAAUGACUUAUUUACUAAAGCCAAACACCUUUAAGGCUGUUAUACGCCCCCAAAGGUAGGAAGACCCCUCACGAAAGUAGCUUUAAUUAUUAUGAACCCACGAAAGCUAGGAAA